rnacentral:rRNA from 1 species
AUGAACGCUGGCGGCGUGCCUAAUCCCUGCAAGUCGAGCGAACAGAUGAGGAGCUUGCUCCUCUGACGUUAGCGGCGGACGGGUGAGUAACACGUGGAUAACCUACCUAUAAGACUGGGAUAACUUCGGGAAACCGGAGCUAAUACCGGAUAAUAUAUUGAACCGCAUGGUUCCAUAGUGAAAGACGGUUUUGCUGUCACUUAUAGAUGGAUCCGCGCCGCAUUAGCUAGUUGGUAAGGUAACGGCUUACCAAGGCAACGAUGCGUAGCCGACCUGAGAGGGUGAUCGGCCACACUGGAACUGAGACACGGUCCAGACUCCUACGGGAGGCAGCAGUAGGGAAUCUUCCGCAAUGGGCGAAAGCUUGACGGAGCAACGCCGCGUGAGUGAUGAAGGUCUUCGGAUCGUAAAACUCUGUUAUUAGGGAAGAACAAAUGUGUAAGUAACUAUGCACGUCUUGACGGUACCUAAUCAGAAAGCCACGGCUAACUACGUG